rnacentral:rRNA from 1 species
CACGUAGGGUGCGAGCGUUGCCCGGAAUUAUUGGGCGUAAAGAGCUCGUAGGCGGUGUGUCGCGUCGGCCGUGAAAACCUGCAGCUUAACUGUGGGCUUGCGGUCGAUACGGGCAUCACUGGAGUUCGGCAGGGGAGACUGGAAUUCCUGGUGUAGCGGUGAAAUGCGCAGAUAUCAGGAGGAACACCGGUGGCGAAGGCGGGUCUCUGGGCCGAUACUGACGUGAGGAGCGAAAGCGUGGGGAGCGAACAGG